rnacentral:rRNA from 1 species
GAUUUCUGGCUUGUCCCCGGCGGCCGGCCACGGUUUCGUGUGCUCGUGCUGCCGGUGCUGGCCAUCCUGACCCGCGCGCCGCCUCUGUCUUCAUUGAUGGGGACGGCGUCGGGUAUCGUUUACUUUGAAAAAAUUAGAGUGUUUCAAGCAGGCUUUAUGCUAUGAAUACAUUAGCAUGGAAUAAUAAUUUAGGACUUCGGUUCUAUUUUGUUGGUUUCUAGGACGGAAGUAAUGAUUGAUAGGGAUAGUUGGGGGUGCUAGUAUUCAGCGGCCAGAGGUGAAAUUCUUGGAUUCGCUGAAGACUAACUUAUGCGAAAGCAUU